rnacentral:sRNA from 1 species
GGACUUGCGCGUAUAUGACAGCCUUAUCACUGCGGAUAUAUCAGCAAAGACGGCCGGUACGAUGGCCGGAGAUAUAAAGGAGCAACCUCAACUGGUAUAUGCUCUGUAAAAGACCUCAACAUGAGCCCUUCGCAAUAUAACAUGGAGUUAAGAACCGCCAUCCCGUCAAAGGUGACGGCGCGGAUCAUGCAAACAGAAUAACACUCUUUUGCGUAAAUAGCUAGAUAUGAUUUUUCAAUAAUCAUAUCAUAUGAUGGCGCGCAAGACAAUCGGGUAGGGAGGGUGAUGGUUUCCGUACAAGGUCGGGCAACUGUCGCGAGAUACAGCUCAGCAACCGCUAGAGUACAAGGGAAAGAUAUCAGAGUUUAUGCAACUGGUCUGGCAAUGCUGGAAUUGAAUGAAAGGGGU